GAUGAACGCUGGCGGCGUGCCUAAUACAUGCAAGUCGAGCGAAUGGAUUAAGAGCUUGCUCUUAUGAAGUUAGCGGCGGACGGGUGAGUAACACGUGGGUAACCUGCCCAUAAGACUGGGAUAACUCCGGGAAACCGGGGCUAAUACCGGAUAACAUUUUGAACCGCAUGGUUCGAAAUUGAAAGGCGGCUUCGGCUGUCACUUACGGAUGGCCCUCCGUCGCAUUCGCGAGUUGGUGAGGUAACGGCUCAACAAGGCAACGAUGCGUAGCCGACCUGAGAGGGUGAGCGGCCACACUGGGACUGAGACACGGCCCAGACUCCUACGGGAGGCAGCAGUAGGGAAUCUUCCGCAAUGGACGAAAGUCUGACGGAGCAACGCCGCGUGAGUGAUGAAGGCUUUCGGGUCGUAAAACUCUGUUGUUAGGGAAGAACAAGUGCUAGUUGAAUAAGCUGACACCUUGACGGUACCUAACCAGAAAGCUACGGCUAACUACGUGCCAGCCGCCGCCGUAA
rnacentral:rRNA from 1 species